UAGGGAAUAUUAGAAAUGGACGAAAGUCUGAUCUAGCAACACCGCGUGUGCGAAGAAGGCCUUCGGGUCGUAAAGCACUUUUUGGAAGGAAUAGGAAGGAAUGUACCUCCAGAAUAAGUCUCGGCUAACUACGUGCCAGCAGCCGCGGUAACACGUAGGAGGCGAACGUUAUCCGGAUUUACUGGGCGUAAAGCGCGUGUAGGUGGUACUGUAAGUAGGGCGUGAAAGCUCCUGGCUCAACUGGGAGAGGCCGUUCUAAACUACAGAACUAGAGGAUGGUAGAGGGAGGUGGAAUUCCAGGUGUAGCGGUGGAAUGCGCAGAUAUCCGGAGGAGCACCGGUGGCGAAGGCGGCCUCCUGGACCAUUCCUGACACUCAGACGCGAAAGCUAGGGUAGCAAACGG
rnacentral:rRNA from 1 species